UGCAAGUCGAACGGCAGCACGGGGGCAACCCUGGUGGCGAGUGGCGAACGGGUGAGUAACAUAUCGGAACGUGCCCUGGAGUGGGGGAUAACUAGUCGAAAGACUAGCUAAUACCGCAUACGAUCUACGGAUGAAAGUGGGGGAUCGCAAGACCUCAUGCUCGUGGAGCGGCCGAUAUCUGAUUAGCUAGUUGGUGGGGUAAAGGCCUACCAAGGCAUCGAUCAGUAGCUGGUCUGAGAGGACGACCAGCCACACUGGGACUGAGACACGGCCCAGAYUCCUACGGGAGGCAGCAGUGGGGAAUUUUGGACAAUGGGCGCAAGCCUGAUCCAGCAAUGCCGCGUGAGUGAAGAAGGCCUUCGGGUUGUAAAGCUCUUUUGUCAGGGAAGAAACGGUGAGGGCUAAUAUCCCUUGCUAAUGACGGUACCUGAAGAAUAAGCACCGGCUAACUACGUGCCAGCAGCCGCGGUAAUACGUAGGGUGCAAGCGUUAAUCGGAAUUACUGGGCGUAAAGCGUGCGCAGGCGGUUGUGCAAGACCGAUGUGAAAUCCCCGGGCUUAACCUGGGAAUGGCAUUGGUGACUGCACGGCUAGAGUGUGUCAGAGGGGGGUAGAAUUCCACGUGUAGCAGUGAAAUGCGUAGAGAUGUGGAGGAAUACCGAUGGCGAAGGCAGCCCCCUGGGAUAACACUGACGCUCAUGCACGAAAGCGUGGGGAGCAAACAGGAUUAGAUACCCUGGUAGUCCACGCCCUAAACGAUGUCAACUAGUUGUCGGGUCUUAAUUGACUUGGUAACGCAGCUAACGCGUGAAGUUGACCGCCUGGGGAGUACGGUCGCAAGAUUAAAACUCAAAGGAAUUGACGGGGACCCGCACAAGCGGUGGAUGAUGUGGAUUAAUUCGAUGCAACGCGAAAAACCUUACCUACCCUUGACAUGGCAGGAAUCCCGGAGAGAUUCGGGAGUGCUCGAAAGAGAACCUGCACACAGGUGCUGCAUGGCUGUCGUCAGCUCGUGUCGUGAGAUGUUGGGUUAAGUCCCGCAACGAGCGCAACCCUUGUCAUUAGUUGCUACGAAAGGGCACUCUAAUGAGACUGCCGGUGACAAACCGGARGAAAGGUGGGGAUGACGUCAAGUCCUCAUGGCCCUUAUGGGUAGGGCUUCACACGUCAUACAAUGGUACAUACAGAGGGCCGCCAACCCGCGAGGGGGAGCUAAUCCCAGAAAGUGUAUCGUAGUCCGGAUUGCAGUCUGCAACUCGACUGCAUGAAGUUGGAAUCGCUAGUAAUCGCGGAUCAGCAUGUCGCGGUGAAUACGUUCCCGGGUCUUGUACACACCGCCCGUCACACCAUGGGAGCGGGUUUUACCAGAAGUAGGUAGCUUAACCGCAAGGAGGGCGC
rnacentral:rRNA from 1 species